GACGAACGCUGGCGGCGUGCUUAACACAUGCAAGUCGAACGAAGAGCGAUGGAAGCUUGCUUCUAUCAAUCUUAGUGGCGAACGGGUGAGUAACGCGUAAUCAACCUGCCCUUCAGAGGGGGACAACAGUUGGAAACGACUGCUAAUACCGCAUACGAUCUAAUCUCGGCAUCGAGGAUAGAUGAAAGGUGGCCUCUACAUGUAAGCUAUCACUGAAGGAGGGGAUUGCGUCUGAUUAGCUAGUUGGAGGGGUAACGGCCCACCAAGGCGAUGAUCAGUAGCCGGUCUGAGAGGAUGAACGGCCACAUUGGGACUGAGACACGGCCCAGACUCCUACGGGAGGCAGCAGUGGGGAAUCUUCCGCAAUGGACGAAAGUCUGACGGAGCAACGCCGCGUGAGUGAGGACGGCCUUCGGGUUGUAAAGCUCUGUUAAUCGGGACGAAAGGCCUUCUUGCGAAUAGGGAGAAGGAUUGACGGUACCGGAAUAGAAAGCCACGGCUAACUACGUG
rnacentral:rRNA from 1 species